rfam:Candidatus Phytoplasma oryzae Pmin.contig.10_1, whole genome shotgun sequence.
AACCGCCGGAUGCUUGGAAACUUGCUUGUCCGGUGGUGUAGGGGGCUUAUGGUAAUAAAUCCAUCUUGUAUGGUUAAACGUCAUAAUUCUAUCCUGAU